GUGAAUCAUCGAGUCUUUGAACGCAUAUGGCACCUUUUGACACUUGUUGAAAGGUAUGCCUGUUUGAGAAUCAUAUUCUACCAUUUCUUUUUGUUUCAUUGACGUUCAUGAAUUCAUUUUUAUGACCAUCAAAGCAACAGAUUGACACAAUUGGACUUUUAUCAUUAAUCGUCUUGAAUUCUGAAAUGAUUGACUUGUUGAUAGAGAUGGAAUAGAGAAUGGUAAUUCAUUCGAUAUAAUACAUUUUGGCUAUGUCAAAAUACACCAACAAUUUAAUGAUCUCAAAUCAGGCAAGGCUACCCGCUGAACUUAAGCAUAUCAAUAAGCGGAGG
rnacentral:rRNA from 1 species